rnacentral:rRNA from 1 species
CCUACGGGUGGCUGCAGUGGGGAAUUUUGGACAAUGGGCGAAAGCCUGAUCCAGCAAUGCCGCGUGUGUGAAGAAGGCCUUCGGGUUGUAAAGCACUUUUGGCGGGAACGAAACAGCGCUUGCUAAUACCGGGCGCGAAUGACGGUACCCGCAGAAUAAGCACCGGCUAACUACGUGCCAGCAGCCGCGGUAAGACGUAGGGUGCGAGCGUUGAUCGGAAUUACUGGGGGUAAAGCUGGCGCAGGCGUGUGAAAUCCCCGGGCUCAACCUGGGAACUGCAUUUGUGACUGCAAGGCUAGAGUGCGGCAGAGGGAGGUGGAAUUCCGCGUGUAGCAGUGAAAUGCGUAGAGAUGCGGAGGAACACCGAUGGCGAAGGCAGCCUCCUGGGAUGACACUGACGCUCAUGCACGAAAGCGUGGGGAGCAAACAGGAUUAGAUACCCUGGUAGUC